rnacentral:rRNA from 1 species
AUUGAACGCUGGCGGCAGGCCUAACACAUGCAAGUCGAGCGGAUGACGGGAGCUUGCUCCUCGAUACAGCGGCGGACGGGUGAGUAAUGCCUAGGAAUCUGCCUGGUAGUGGGGGACGACGUUUCGAAAGGAACGCUAAUACCGCAUACGUCCUACGGGAGAAAGCAGGGGACCUUCGGGCCUUGCGCUAGCAGAUGAGCCUAGGUCGGAUUAGCUAGUUGGUGGGGUAAUGGCUCACCAAGGCGACGAUCCGUAACUGGUCUGAGAGGAUGAUCAGUCACACUGGAGGUGAUACACGGUCCAGACGCCUACGGGAGGCAGCAGUGGGGAAUAUUGGACAAUGGGCGAAAGCCUGAUCCAGCCAUGCUGCGUGUGUGAAGAAGGUCUUCUGAUUGUAAAGCACUUUUAUUUGUGAGGAAGGGCAGUAAUUUAAUACCUUGCUGUUUUUACGUUACCGGCAGAAUAAGCACCGGCUAACUCUGUGCCAGCAGCAGCCGCCGUAACAC